UUCUAAACAUAGAAACAUUCUCCUUCACUAGACUACCAAACUUGACCUCCACCUAAUGGUGGAUCCAGAAAUACGACUUAGGGGUAGGGGUAAAGUUAGAAUUUUGUUUUUAGGGGGGACAAAAUUAAAUUAUAGAUUUCUAUGAUAGUAAAAAUACAAUUUUGUCAUUUUAUUAACCUAUAUCUUUAUAAUUUUUAGAGGAUUAAACCAUAUCAUUUUUUG
rnacentral:lncRNA from 1 species